UACGUAGGGAGCAAGCGUUGUCCGGAAUCAUUGGGCGUAAAGCGCGCGUAGGUGGCUUCGUAAGUCCGUUGUGAAAGUCAAAGGCUCAACCUUUGAAAGCCGAUGGAUACUGCGGAGCUAGAGUACGGAAGAGGCGAGUGAAAUUCCUGGUGUAGCGGUGGAAUGCGCAGAUAUCAGGAGGAACACCAAUAGCGAAGGCAGCUCGCUGGGACGUUACUGACACUGAGGCGCGAAAGCGUGGGGAGCGAACAGG
rnacentral:rRNA from 1 species